rnacentral:rRNA from 1 species
UCCGUAGGCGGAUUGAUAAGUCAGAGGUGAAAUCCCACAGCUUAACUGUGGAACUGCCUUUGAAACUGUUAGUCUUGAGUUAUAUGGAAGUAGAUAGAAUGUGUAGUGUAGCGGUGAAAUGCAUAGAGAUUACACAGAAUACCGAUUGCGAAGGCAGUCUACUACGUAUAUACUGACGCUAAUGGACGAAGGCGUGGGGAGCGAACAGGAUUAGAUACCCUGGUAGUCC